rnacentral:rRNA from 1 species
GAUCAGUGGCUACGAGGACGAACGCUGGCGGCGUGCUUAACACAUGCAAGUCGAACGGAGCGCCUUGGAUAGAGGUUUCGGCCAAUUGAAGAGGUUGCUUAGUGGCGGACUGGUGAGUAACGCGUGAAGAACCUGCCUUCCAGAGGGGGGACAACAGUUAGAAAUGACUGCUAAUACCGCAUAACCUGCUAGUACCGCAUGGUACAGGCAGAAAAGAUUUAUCGGUGUAAGAUGGGCCCGCGUCUGAUUAGCUUGUUGGUGGGGUAACGGCCUACCAAGGCAACGAUCAGUAGCCGGCUUGAGAGAGUGGACGGCCACAUUGGGACUGAGACACGGCCCAGACUCCUACGGGAGGCAGCAGUGGGGGAUAUUGCGCAAUGGGGGAAACCCUGACGCAGCAACGCCGCGUGCAGGAUGACGGCCUUCGGGUUGUAAACUGUUGUCGCAAGGGAAGAAAAAAAUGACGGUACCUUGUGAGAAAGCCACGGCUAACUACGUG